rnacentral:rRNA from 1 species
AAGACGAGAAGACCCUGUCGAGUUUAAUUGAAAUUUUUAUAAAGUUAUAAUUUUUAAUCUUUAUUGGGGCAAUAUAAAUCAAAAUAACGGUUUAUAAAAAUAACUAAGAUCCUUUUUAGAAAGAAAUAGGCUAAAAACUGCCGCUAGGGAUAACAGCGUUAUCCUUUUUUAAGAGAUCGAAUUGAGAAAAGGGUUUAGCGACCUCGAUGUUG